CCUACGGGAGGCAGCAGUGAGGAAUAUUGGUCAAUGGACGAGAGUCUGAACCAGCCAAGUAGCGUGAAGGAUGACUGCCCUAUGGGUUGUAAACUUCUUUUAUAAAGGAAUAAAACGAGGCACGUGUGCCUUUUUGCAUGUACUUUAUGAAUAAGGAUCGGCUAACUACGUGCCAGCAGCCGCGGUAAUACGGAGGAUCCGAGCGUUAUCCGGAUUUAUUGGGUUUAAAGGGAGCGUAGAUGGGUUGUUAAGUCAGUUGUGAAAGUUUGGGGCUCAACCGUAAAAUUGCAAUUGAUACUGGCAGUCUUGAGUACAGUUGAGGUAGGCGGAAUUCGUGGUGUAGCGGUGAAAUGCGUAGAUAUCACGAAGAACCCCGAUUGCGAAGGCAGCUUACUAGACUGUGACUGACAUUGAUGCUCGAAAGUGUGGGUAGCAAACAGGAUUAGAUACCCGUGUAGUC
rnacentral:rRNA from 1 species